GACGAGGCACUACGGUGCUGAAGCAACAAAUGCCCUGCUUCCAGGAAAAGCCUCUAAGCAUCAGGUAACACGAAAUCGUACCCCAAACCGACACAGGUGGUCAGGUAGAGAAUACCAAGGCGCUUGAGAGAACUCGGGUGAAGGAACUAGGCAAAAUGGUGCCGUAACUUCGGGAGAAGGCACGCUGACACGUAGGUGAAGUGAUUUACUCAUGGAGCUGAAGUCAGUCGAAGAUACCAGCUGGCUGCAACUGUUUAUUAAAAACACAGCACUGUGCAAACACGAAAGUGGACGUAUACGGUGUGACGCCUGCCCGGUGCCGGAAGGUUAAUUGAUGGGGUCAGCGCAAGCGAAGCUCCUGAUCGAAGCCCCGGUAAACGGCGGCCGUAACUAUAACGGUCCUAAGGUAGCGAAAUUCCUUGUCGGGUAAGUUCCGACCUGCACGAAUGGCGUAAUGAUGGCCAGGCUGUCUCCACCCGAGACUCAGUGAAAUUGAACUCGCUGUGAAGAUGCAGUGUACCCGCGGCAAGACGGAAAGACCCCGUGAACCUUUACUAUAGCUUGACACUGAACAUUGAGCCUUGAUGUGUAGGAUAGGUGGGAGGCUUUGAAGUGUGGACGCCAGUCUGCAUGGAGCCGACCUUGAAAUACCACCCUUUAAUGUUUGAUGUUCUAACGUGGACCCGUAAUCCGGGUUGCGGACAGUGUCUGGUGGGUAGUUUGACUGGGGCGGUCUCCUCCUAAAGAGUAACGGAGGAGCACGAAGGUUGGCUAAUCCUGGUCGGACAUCAGGAGGUUAGUGCAAUGGCAUAAGCCAGCUUGACUGCGAGCGUGACGGCGCGAGCAGGUGCGAAAGCAGGUCAUAGUGAUCCGGUGGUUCUGAAUGGAAGGGCCAUCGCUCAACGGAUAAAAGGUACUCCGGGGAUAACAGGCUGAUACCGCCCAAGAGUUCAUAUCGACGGCGGUGUUUGGCACCUCGAUGUCGGCUCAUCACAUCCUGGGGCUGAAGUAGGUCCCAAGGGUAUGGCUGUUCGCCAUUUAAAGUGGUACGCGAGCUGGGUUUAGAACGUCGUGAGACAGUUCGGUCCCUAUCUGCCGUGGGCGCUGGAGAACUGAGGGGGGCUGCUCCUAGUACGAGAGGACCGGAGUGGACGCAUCACUGGUGUUCGGGUUGUCAUGCCAAUGGCACUGCCCGGUAGCUAAAUGCGGAAGAGAUAAGUGCUGAAAGCAUCUAAGCACGAAACUUGCCCCGAGAUGAGUUCUCCCUGAGACUUAGAGUCUCCUGAAGGAACGUUGAAGACGACGACGUUGAUAGGCCGGGUGUGUAAG
rnacentral:rRNA from 1 species